rnacentral:rRNA from 1 species
GAUGAACGCUGGCGGCGUGCCUAAUACAUGCAAGUCGAGCGAACGGACGAGAAGCUUGCUUCUCUGAUGUUAGCGGCGGACGGGUGAGUAACACGUGGAUAACCUACCUAUAAGACUGGGGUAACUUCGGGAAACCGGAGCUAAUACCGGAUAAUAUUUUGAACCGCAUGGUUCAAAAGUGAAAGACGGUCUUGCUGUCACUUAUAGAUGGAUCCGCGCUGCAUUAGCUAGUUGGUAAGGUAACGGCUUACCAAGGCAACGAUGCAUAGCCGACCUGAGAGGGUGAUCGGCCACACUGGAACUGAGACACGGUCCAGACACCUACGGGAGGCAGCAGUAGGGAAUCUUCCGCAAAGGGCGAAAGCCUGACGGAGCAACGCCGCGUGAGUGAUGAAGGUCUUCGGAUCGUAAAACUCUGUUAUUAGGGAAGAACAUAUGUGUAAGUAACUGUGCACAUCUUGACGGUACCUAAUCAGAAAGCCACGGCUAACUACGUG